CCUACGGGCGGCAGCAGUAGGGAAUAUUGCUCAAUGGGGGAAACCCUGAAGCAGCAACGCCGCGUGGAGGAUGAAGGUUUUCGGAUUGUAAACUCCUUUUGUUAGAGAAGCUAGUGCCGGUAUCUAACGCAUAAGCACCGGCUAACUCCGUGCCAGCAGCCGCGGUAAUACGGCGGGUGCAAGCGUUACACGGAAUCACUGGGCGUAAAGAGCGAGUAGGCGGGAUAGCAAGUCAGAUGUGAAAUCCUAUGGCUUAACCAUAGAACUGCAUUUGAAACUGGUAUUCUAGAGUAGGGGAGAGGUAGGUGGAAUGCUUGGUGUAGGGGUAAAAUGCGUAGAGAUCAAGAGGAAUACUGAUUGCGAAGGCGACCUGCUAGAUCAUAACUGACGCUGAGGCACGAAAGCGUGGGUAGCAAACAGGAUUAGAUACCCGUGUAGUC
rnacentral:rRNA from 1 species